rnacentral:lncRNA from 1 species
UAGAUACAUCACCUCUCUCUACCCACAAAGCCUGCUCCAUAGACGCAUCCAGGGUCCUCAACCUCUGCGCCUAUACAAACCUGAAGAUCUCUUAUCUCAAGCCUCACUCAAACAGAUACACCCUGUGUGCCUCGUCUCUAGCUACAAAUGGAAUGCAGUUCAGGAACCGAGUAAACUCAUGGAUGUACUCCUGAACUGAUCGCUUCCCCUGCUGAAGCUUCUUCAGAUCCUCUUCAAAUUUCUGCUUCACACUGUUUGAAAAAUACAUUCCAUACGGCAUUCCACAGAACUCAUCCCAACUCAUCUGCAACGCCACCAACCCUCGGUCUCGCUUCAUCCUCUUCCACCACGAAUGUGCAUCGCCAGCCAAGCAGUGAACUCCCAAAUGCA